UACGUAGGGUGCAAGCGUUGUCCGGAAUUAUUGGGCGUAAAGAGCUCGUAGGCGGUCUGUCGCGUCUGCUGUGAAAACUCGGGGCUUAACCCCGGGCCUGCAGUGGGUACGGGCAGACUAGAGUGCGGUAGGGGAGACUGGAAUUCCUGGUGUAGCGGUGAAAUGCGGCAGAUAUCAGGAGGAACACCGGUGGCGAAGGCGGGUCUCUGGGCCGUAACUGAACG
rnacentral:rRNA from 1 species